GAUGAAGAACGCAGCGAAAUGCGAUAAGUAAUGUGAAUUGCAGAAUUCAGUGAAUCAUCGAAUCUUUGAACGCACAUUGCGCCCGCCAGUAUUCUGGCGGGCAUGCCUGUUCGAGCGUCAUUUCAACCAUCAAGCCCCCGGCUUGUGUUGGGGACCUGCGGCUGCCGCAGGCCCUGAAAACCAGUGGCGGGCUCGCUAGUCACUCCGAGCGUAGUAAUACAUCUCGCUCAGGGCGUGCUGCGGGUUCCGGCCGUUAAAAGCCUUAUUUACCCAAGGUUGACCUCGGAUCGGGUAGGAAGACCCGCUGAACUUAAGCAUAUCAAUAAGCGGAGGA
rnacentral:misc_RNA from 1 species